rnacentral:rRNA from 1 species
GCAGCAGCCGCGGGAAUACGUAGGGCGCAAGCGUUGUCCGGAAUUAUUGGGCGUAAAGAGCUCGUAGGCGGUCUGUCGCGUCUGGUGUGAAAUCCCGAGGCUCAACCUCGGGCUUGCAUCGGGUACGGGCAGACUAGAGUGCGGUAGGGGAGACUGGAAUUCCUGGUGUAGCGGUGGAAUGCGCAGAUAUCAGGAGGAACACCGAUGGCGAAGGCAGGUCUCUGGGCCGCAACUGACGCUGAGGAGCGAAAGCAUGGGGAGCGAACAGGAUUAGAUACCCCCGUAGUCCCUGUCUCUUAUAC